GGAGUGGGCUUUGCUAGAUCCUUCCCAGAAGAAUCUCUACAGAGAUGUGAUGUGGGAAACCAUGAGGAAUCUGGCCUCUAUAGGUAAGGAUUGUAUACUUCCAUCACUUAGUCAAUUAAAGAAGAAGUGCUUCUUGUGCAGUGAUGCUGUUCCAUGGUUUGCAUCAUGGAGGGAGAAUACUUGGGGGGCUGAAACAGGCGUAGUCACAGGGUAUCAUGAACCUAGAAUCUAAUAAUUUUUCUAUAAUUUUGCACUAAUUCAGAAUUUUUCUGGGUCUCUGUUUUAGGGAAAAAAUGGAAGGACCAGAACAUUAAGGAUCACUACAAACACCGAGGGAGAAAUCUAAGAAGUCAUAUGUUAGAAAGACUCUAUCAAACUAAGGAUGGUAGUCAGCGUGGAGGAAUUUUUAGCCAGUUUGCAAAUCAGAAUCUGAGCAAGAAAAUCCCUGGAGUGAAA
rnacentral:sRNA from 1 species